GUUUAUUUAGCUUAAAUAAAAGCAUGGCUUUGAAGGUGCCAAGAUGAAAAAUUCAUUAAACA
rnacentral:tRNA from 1 species